AAGCGUUGAAGGUCUAUGGUCGGUUGGUUUGACUGUGGCUGGAGCUUUACCAGGGUUGUGUGUGAACUCCUCAAGCCAACACAGAAAACACUCAUU
rnacentral:ncRNA from 1 species